GCCAGGAAAAUUUAGGACGCAGACACACAUGAGGAGUGUAGGAGUGGAGGUUUAAUAGGCGAAAGAAAGAGAAAGGAAAAUAGCUCUCUCUCUCUCCAGUGAGAGAGAGAGGUCUUCUGAAAGGAAAGACUGGCCGGUGGCGGAUGCGCUGGAUUUUAUAGUCAGGCUGGAGAAGGUGGUGUCUGAUUUACAUAGUCUCACAGAUUGGUUUGAUAAGGUAUGAUGUUUACAUAGCACGUGGGGGAGGCUGGCUGCCCCACUCUAAUCUUAUGCAAAUGGGCUUUCCAGUUGACUGGCACCAUCUUGUCUGCUCCUUAGUGUACACAUGGAUGACAAAGAGAAGGGAAGAUGGAGCCACCGUCUUGAACAUGAUUGGCACAACAGCCAGCAUCUGUCUGCAGCUUGAUUUUACAGGCUGCUCUUUGUUAGAAAGGAAAAUAAUUUGGGGCUGCUUUUUAUUAAAAAGGAAAGCUUACCAAGGACUUCUGUACCUUCACUAUCUGCCUAAGUAAUUUCUUCUUAACUCUUGUAUCAAUGGCACUGGUGGGAGUGUAGUAGUGAGGACGACCACAUGUCACUCGCAUCGCCAUCUUGGUUUUGGUGGGUUUUAGCUGGCUUCUUUACUGCAACCUGCUUUAUCAGCAAGGUCUUUCUGACCUGUAUCUUGUGCCGACCUCCUAUCUCAUCCUGUGACUUAGAAUGCCUAACCAUAUGGGAAUGCAGCCCAGUAGGUCUCAGCCUUAACCCAGCCCCUAUUCAAGAUGGAGUUGCUCCGAUGCAAACACCUCUGACAAAAAUAUAUUCCUUUGGCAUAAGGAUUAUUUUGCACUGAUUAUUUUGUGACACUGCUCAAAAUAAUCAUAAGAACAUAUGUCUAUUAUUGCAGACAUCGGAAAAGCUCUGAAAACAGAGUGGGUUACCCCUUUGUAAAGGAAAUUUACAUAUAUAAAAGAAAUCUCCAUUUGUAUAAUAGGGUCUCCCUCUCUGAAUCAGGAAGAGAAGGGUAACUUAAUCACUAGAGCCUCUUAACAAUGGAAAAAGCAUUGACUUAAGUGUGCAUAGCAAACAUUAUCAUUUUGCCAUACUAUGUACUAUACCUGGAUACCUCUUCAUUUUGUUUAAGUUGAAGAUGGUAUUUAAGCCUGAACUCAAAGAUGCUUGUUUGAGAUUUACUCAUUUUCCCCCGGGUAUCUCCCACAUACACAGGAAGAAUACGUUUUUAAGCUUCUGUUGUUUUUUCUCUUGUUAAUUUGUAUUUUGCUGCUAGGGUUUGUCUCCAGUAAGUGCUAUGGUGGGUAUAGAGAAAAUUAAUUUUCUCUCCUAUAGUACUUGACAACACUUGGAAGCUUUUUCUUCUUCAUUGACAAUACAAUUGCCUAUUAGGGCAUUCUUUCUCUCUCUAUCUCUCCAUCCUCUGUCCCAAAACUUUGCUAAUUUAGGGGCCAAGGGAAAACUUCCCCUUUGCCCUCUGAGGUUUCACUGAAAAAUCAACUCACCGAAGGCAGAUUAAUUGGAGAAAAGGUGUAAAAAUUUAUUAGCAUUGCAAGUUGGGGAGAAUCACAGAGUGAUUGUUCAAUAUCCUAGUGGGGCCUCCAUACUUACAUAGCCUUAUUUCAGAGGGAAGAGGGAGAUGGGGAAUAUAGGUAAUUCUAUUGAGGGUCAAUCAAUGAUUACUAGUGAGAACAAGUGGAUGGAGGGGUAGGGAUAAAUUCAUAAAUCGUUCUCUUUAGAAAUGGAGUGAACCUGAGACAGGGACAUUAUCUUGUGAAUGGGUCUGUUCAGAUGUGGUUACAUUCUUGGGCUUCUUUUCUGCAAUAGAUAAGGAGAUAACAGGAAGGGGAAGGAAAAACUACGCUGUCCUCAGUCUGGUCUUUAUGUAGAUAGGGAAAACGUCUCUUUCAGUGUCUGUUAAUCUUUGAGGGUUUUUAACUCAAAAUACUCAUUGUACCAGGGAGGCAUAUUUUAGGGUGAAGUCCCUUGCAUUAUUUCACUAAACAUCACUUUUUUUUUUAAGUGUAGUGUUAAAUGCUACAGAGAAAAACAUGGGUGAGACAAGCCAGUUCUCUCAAGAAGCUCAAAUGGGUGAGACAGGCAUGGAAACACAAUAGCCUUAUGAUGAGAUGAGUUGCCCCCAUCACUGACUGAAUUAACCCUGAUCUCAGUCAAGGAAACCCCAGAGAGAGCUUAAAAACUGGAUUCCCUGCCACAGUAGAGAGAGAGUUCUGACACGUCUCAUUAUAACUCCAUCCUUAUGGAGUUUAGGCACAACUGACCAGCAUUAAUGUUAAAAUAAAGAUCAUAAUGUUACAGGAAA
rnacentral:lncRNA from 1 species